rnacentral:rRNA from 1 species
AAUAUUGCACAAUGGGGGAAACCCUGAUGCAGCGACGCCGCGUGAGCGAAGAAGGCCNNNGGGUCNUAAAGCUCUGUCCUAAGNGAANAAACGGAUGGUACCUUAGGAGGAAGCCCUGGCUAACUACGUGCCAGCAGCCGCGGUAAUACGUAGGGGGCGAGCGUUAUCCGGAAUUAUUGGGCGUCAAGGGUGCGUAGGGGGCCUUUUAAGGCAGAUGUGAAAGGCUACGGCUUAACCGUAGUUAGCAUUUGAAACUAAAAGGCUUGAGUGCAGGAGAGGAGAGUGGAAUUCCUAGUGUAGCGGUGAAAUGCGUAGAUAUUAGGAGGAACACCAGUGGCGAAGGCGACUCUCUGGACUGCAACUGACGCUGAGGCACGAAAGCGUGGGGAGCGAACAG